GUGUGAGUGGCUCAGUCGGUUAAGCACCUGACUUCAACUCAGGACAUGAUCUCACGGUUUGUGGGUUCGAGCCCCGUGUCAGGCU
rnacentral:tRNA from 1 species